rnacentral:lncRNA from 1 species
GUAGGUUAACUUUUGACAUAGGUGGUCAUCGUAAGUGUUUUUAUAACAUGUUUGUUUAUUUCUAUAGGAAUUAUGUUGGAAUAUGAAAAACAUGGAGAAUUAAAGACGAAGUCAAUAGAUUUGCUUGAUCUUGGUCCCAGGUUCUCAAAGCACAUAUAUUGCCACUGACUAACGUUGCACUUAACAAAUCGGGCUCAUGGUAAGAUUCUCUUUUUAUAUCUAAUUUUUAGCAAUGAAACAAAUUUCUGUGUUUAUCAAAGAUUCCAGUUUGCUAAGUACAUAAUAUAUUCAUUUUUCUGAUUUCAGUACCCUCUUGGAUAUUGAGGAGAAAUAUAAGCCCUUUUUCCCACUAUUCUAAUCUGAGUUUUCUGUCAUAUUCAUGCCACAGUGAAUGGGAGGCAUCUUGGGUUCUCAGCAAAUGUGGCUUGUGAAGAACUCAACUCAGGAAUGAGUCAGGC